GGCGCGGUGGCAGAGCGGUCAUGCAGCGGCCUGCAAAGCCGUGGAGAUGGGUUCGACUCCCGUCCGCGCCUCCA
rnacentral:tRNA from 1 species